CACGUAGGGCGCGAGCGUUGUCCGGAAUUAUUGGGCGUAAAGAGCUCGUAGGCGGUUUGUCGCGUCUGUCGUGAAAGCCCACGGCUUAACCGUGGGUCUGCGGUGGAUACGGGCAGACUAGAGGCAGGUAGGGGAGAAUGGAAUUCCCGGUGUAGCAGUGAAAUGCGUAGAGAUCGUAAGGAAGACCAGUGGCGAAGGCGGGUCUCUGGACAGUUCCUGACACUGAGGCACGAAGGCCAGGGGAGCAAACGGG
rnacentral:rRNA from 1 species